rnacentral:lncRNA from 1 species
GUUUCCAUUUUGUAAAUGUUUUACCGAGCGAGUACUCUUCACCGAGGUAACAUCCCUUCAUGUUAUUAUAUAUUUUUUUCCAUUGUAUUUAAGAAAACAAUAAAUAGAUUUCAUUUGUCUCCCUUUUUUUUUUGUAGAGAAUCAGUUUCAAAAUAUAGUUAUCUCCCAUCUUAAAUUUAGCCUGUUAGUCAAAGGGAGACAACUUUAAUUUUCCACAAAAAUUACGGAAUUCCAUAAUAUUAUGGAGUUCGCUAAGUGCCCCG